rnacentral:tRNA from 1 species
ACUUUCCUGAGGCUCAGUUGGCAGAGCAUUGCGCUAACAUCGCAAAGGUUGUGGGUUCAAUCCCAGGGAAAGCA